AUCACUUCUCUGCCUGUUGGCUAAGAUAAAGUGUAGUAUCUGUUCUUAUCAGUUGCCAGUAGGUGGUGCUAUGCUGACCGUCCCCACUACACGGCGAGGUGGAAAGGGAUGGCGGUCGGCGGACGCUAAACCUGCUGGUGUGGAGGUGGAAGCCUUCUGAUUUGGAGGCAUGAGGUCGAAGCUGA